UACGGGGGGGGUAAGCGUUGUUCGGAAUUACUGGGCGUAAAGGGCUCGUAGGCGGCCAACUAAGUCAUACGUGAAAUCCCUCAGCUUAACUGGGGAACUGCGUGUGAUACUGGAUGGCUUGAGAUUGGGAGAGGGAUGCGGAAUUCCAGGUGUAGCGGUGAAAUGCGUAGAUAUCUGGAGGAACACCGGUGGCGAAGGCGGCAUCCUGGACCAACACUGACACUGAGGCCCGAAAGCGUGGGGAUCAAACAGG
rnacentral:rRNA from 1 species